rnacentral:rRNA from 1 species
CAUGUGGUUUAAUUCGAUGCAACGCGAAGAACCUUACCUACUCUUGACAUCCAGAGAACUUUCCAGAGAUGGAUUGGUGCCUUCGGGAACUCUGAGACAGGUGCUGCAUGGCUGUCGUCAGCUCGUGUUGUGAAAUGUUGGGUUAAGUCCCGCAACGAGCGCAACCCUUAUCCUUUGUUGCCAGCGGUUCGGCCGGGAACUCAAAGGAGACUGCCAGUGAUAAACUGGAGGAAGGUGGGGAUGACGUCAAGUCAUCAUGGCCCUUACGAGUAGGGCUACACACGUGCUACAAUGGCGUAUACAAAGAGAAGCGACCUCGCGAGAGCAAGCGGACCUCAUAAAGUACGUCGUAGUCCGGAUUGGAGUCUGCAACUCGACUCCAUGAAGUCGGAAUCGCUAGUAAUCGUAGAUCAGAAUGCUACGGUGAAUACGUUCCCGGGCCUUGUACACACCGCCCGUA